GAGUAGUAUACCUCUGUCAUAAGCGCAGAUAAAGUAGGUACCUUAGGAGGAAGGCCUGGCUAGGGUCAGCCAGCAUCCGCGGUAAUAGGUAGGGGGCAAAAGUUAUCCGGAAUUAUUGGGUGUAAAGGGUAAGUAGACGGCUUUAUGGGUCAGAAGUUAAAUAAUACGCAUUAACAGAGACAGGAAUGUGAAAAUGUAAUUCUCGAGGGCAGGAGAAGAGACGGGAAUUCUGGUAGGAGCAUCAAAGGCGAAGGAUAUUAGGAGGACUUCCUGUGACGACGGUGAUUUUAAGGGUAGCAAGCGAAAAUAAGGCAAGAAAGGGGUAGUACACACCAUGAUUUAAUACCGUGGUAGUCCCCGUACAAAUCGAUGAUCGUUAGG
rnacentral:rRNA from 1 species